AACGAACGCUGGCGGCAUGCCUAACACAUGCAAGUCGAACGCCCCGCAAGGGGAGUGGCGAACGGGUGAGUAACGCGUGGGAACCUACCCAGCAGUUGGGGAUAACCGCGGGAAACUGCGGCUAAUACCGAAUACGUCCUAAGGGAGAAAGAUUUAUCGCUGUUGGAGGGGCCCGCGUCGGAUUAGCUAGUUGGUGAGGUAACGGCUCACCAAGGCGACGAUCCGUAGCUGGUCUGAGAGGAUGAUCAGCCACACUGGGACUUAGACACGGCCCAGACUCCUACGGGAGGCAGCAGUGGGGAAUAUUGGACAAUGGGGGCAACCCUGAUCCAGCAAUGCCGCGUGAGUGAUGAAGGCCUUAGGGUUGUAAAGCUCUUUUACCGGGGACGAUGAUGACGGUACCCGGAGAAUAAGCCCCGGCUAACUUCGUGCCAGCCGCCGCCGUAAUAC
rnacentral:rRNA from 1 species